rnacentral:rRNA from 1 species
UACGUAGGGGGGCAAGCGUUGUCCGGAUUUAUUGGGGCGUAAAGAGCGUGUAGGCGGUUUGGUAGGUCCGCUGUGAAAACUCGAGCUCAACCUCGAGACGCCGGUGGAAACCAUCAGACUAGAGUCCGGAAGAGGAGAGUGGAAUUCCGUGGUGUAGCGGUGAAAUGCGCAGAUAUCAGGAGGAACACCAAUGGCGAAGGCAGAUCUCUGGGCCGUAACUGACGCUGAGGAGCGAAAGCAUGGGGAGCGAACAGG